GACGAACGCUGGCGGCGUGCUUAACACAUGCAAGUCGAACGGAAAGGCCCUGCUUUUGUUGGGUGCUCGAGUGGCGAACAGGUGAGUAACACGUGAGUAACCUGCCCUUGACUUUCUGAUAACUUCAGUAGACUGGGCCUAUUACCCGAUAUGAGCUCCUGCUGCAUGUUGUGGGUUGGAAAGUUUCGGCGGUUGGGGAUGGACUCGCGGCUUAUCAGCUUGUUGGUGGGGUAGUGGCUUACCAAGGCUUUGACGGGUAGCCGGCCUGAGAGGGUGACCGGCCACAUUGGGACUGAGAUACGGCCCAGACUCCUACGGGAGGCAGCAGUGGGGAAUAUUGCACAAUGGGCGGAAGCCUGAUGCAGCAACGCCGCGUGAGGGAUGACGGCCUUCGGGUUGUAAACCGCUUUCGCCUGUGACGAAGCGUGAGUGACGGUAAUGGGUAAAGAAGCACCGGCUAACUACGUG
rnacentral:rRNA from 1 species